rnacentral:pre_miRNA from 1 species
AUAGGCGAGUAUGAAUGUGGUGCACGUUUUGAUUUAUUUCGUGACUAGAUACAUACUCGUCUACG